rnacentral:tRNA from 1 species
GAAUACGAUUGUUGGUUGGUUUUGCAAAAGCUGAUUAGGGUUAUUAUUUGUGGCCCCGUGUUUU